AACGAGGCCGACCUGCGGCUGAGUUACCUGCGGAAGGAUCAUUACAAGUGACCCCGGUCUAACCACCGGGAUGUUCAUAACCCUUUGUUGUCCGACUCUGUUGCCUCCGGGGCGACCCUGCCUUCGGGCGGGGGCUCCGGGUGGACACUUCAAACUCUUGCGUAACUUUGCAGUCUGAGUAAACUUAAUUAAUAAAUUAAAACUUUCAACAAUGGAUCU
rnacentral:misc_RNA from 1 species